rnacentral:rRNA from 1 species
UUUAAGGUCUAACCUGCCCAAUGAGGAUUUAAAUGGCCGCAGUAUUUUGACUGUGCAAAGGUAGCAUAAUUAUUAGUUUUUUAAUUGAAAGCUUGUAUGAAGGGUUGGACGAGAUAAAAUCUGUCUUUAUUUAAAUUAAAGUAUAAUUUAACUUUUAAGUCAAAAGGCUUAAAUGUUUAUAAAAGACGAGAAGACCCUAUAGAUCUUUAUUUAGUUAAGAUUUUAAUAAUUUAGGAUUAUUUUAAUUUGRAGUCUUAAUUGAAUUUUAUUGGGGUAAUAUAAAGAUUAAAUGAAUUCUUUUUAUUUAUGACAUUAAUUUAUGAAUAUAUGAUCCAUUAAUAUUGAUUAUAAGAUUAAGUUACCUUAGGGAUAACAGCGUAAUUUUUUUGGAGAGCUCAUAUCGAUAAAAAAGUUUGCGACCUCGAUGUUGGAUUAAAAAUAAGCUUGGGUCCARAAGCUCAAGAUUUUGGUCUGUUCGACCAUUAAAUUUUUACAUGAUCUGAGUUCAGACCGGCGUAAGCCAGGUCGGUUUCUAUCUUUAUUCAGAUAAAAUAUUUUAGUACGAAAGGACCAAGUAUUUAAAAUAAUUAUAUUUAUUUUUUGAAGAAUAUU